rnacentral:rRNA from 1 species
GAGUUUGAUCCUGGCUCAGAUUGAACGCUGGCGGCAUGCCUUACACAUGCAAGUCGAACGGCAGCAUGAUCUAGCUUGCUAGAUUGAUGGCGAGUGGCGAACGGGUGAGUAAUACAUCGGAACGUGCCCUGUAGUGGGGGAUAGCUAGUCGAAAGAUUAGCUAAUACCGCAUACGACCUGAGGGUGAAAGUGGGGGACCGCAAGGCCUCAUGCUAUAGGAGCGGCCGAUGUCUGAUUAGCUAGUUGGUGGGGUAAAGGCCCACCAAGGCGACGAUCAGUAGCUGGUCUGAGAGGACGAUCAGCCACACUGGGACUGAGACACGGCCCAGACUCCUACGGGAGGCAGCAGUGGGGAAUUUUGGACAAUGGGCGAAAGCCUGAUCCAGCAAUGCCGCGUGUGUGAAGAAGGCCUGG